AGAGAAAUACGACUUUAGCAAUAAGUGACUGUUUGAAGCCCAAGUUGCCUUAAAACACAGAAUUUCAGUCUUUCAGCUCCUCUGCUAACGUAAUAACUAAGAACAGAAUCUCACUGGAGCUCAAAGAUGUGGGGCACUGGGAAUACUCCUGGGUCUGUCUGCUCACGGCUGAUUGCCUGAUUCCCAGUUUUAUUAUACAGCUUAAAUACAGACCAGAAGAGGAGUUUGGGGCUUGACAUCUGACAUCUUAACACCAGUUCCUGUUUCUUGAGGAAGGAAGAGGUAAAAUAAAUCAGCGUUUACUGUGUCCUUCUCCAUCCCCGGAAGUCCUUGUGAAGACCCUCUCAGAGAUGCAACACACACAGAAAUCCCAGCUGGAUUACAGACUUGAACCCGAAGACCUUAUGCAGAAUGACUAUUUAUGAACCACUAAACUCAGUACUAAAGCAGCUUCAACUUGAACGUGAAUAUGAGCAACUGAUCGUCUGUUCUGCAGUCAGCCCCUGGCCUGAUUCUGACUCAUGAUAUUGACCUUCUCCAUCAUCACCUUCCACAAAUUUGAUUCCUGUCUAUUCUGCCUGGAAUGGUUCAUAAGUAUAGUCACCGUUUAUGUUCCUGAUGAAAGGUAUGUGCAAUGAAUAAGUCACUGGUCUUGCCAAAUUCUAUCAUGUAAGCUUCAUUGUCAUUUCUAUCAUCAAUACCUUAUUUUCCAACUGCUGAUUUGUCUGCUUUGUUUUCAACUUCGCAUUCUAAAUGAUUGAUCAAUGCAUCACGUUUGAUCAGUUUCAAACUGUAUAACUUGGUAAAAACCUUCAACUUGUUCAUCUUUCACAUUCAUGAUUUGUGUGUAAAUUUGAAUAAUAGUCUUAUUAACUGGUCGUCCUGGUAGGCCUGUGGAUAUUAUCCUAUUGCUUGUAGUGUUGUACUUCAGAAAAGAUCUUGAUAUGUUCUUUUUAUCGAUGAAUAUGAUGCCGUUCUCUUUAGUAUCUCAAUCCUGGCAUAGUAGAACAUAUCAUUGUCUAGUUUAAAAUGUCCAAAACCAAGCUAUUUCAGCUCACUAAUGCCUUGGAUUACUGACCUUUAUGCAUUCCAUUUCAUUUUUGAUGACUUCCAAUUUCCCUAGAUUCAUACUUCCUUCAUUCCACAUUCUGAUUAUUAAAGGAUAUUUGCAUCAGUUUCUUCUCAUUAUGAGUUAUGCCCCAUCAGGAAAUGUCAUUAAAGUGGGAUCUACUUUGAGGAGGUAGCUCUUCCCCACUCGUAUUUUGAGUGCCUUCCAACCUAAGGGGUUAUCCUCUGUCAUUCAAUCAGACAGUGUUCCAGUGCUAUUUGUAAGAUUUCACUGGCCAGUUUUUUUUAGAAAUAGAUCACUAGGUCCUUUUUCCUAGUCUGUCUAAAUCCAGAGCUCCACUCAAAGCUGUCUACCAUGGGUGAACCUGGUGGUAUUUGAAAUACCGGUGGCAUAGCUUCUAACAUCACAGCAACAUGCAAGCCACCACACUACAACAAACUGACAGAAGAGUGGUGGGAGUUAAAAAUGAGAAGAACCAAAAAGAGUGCUUCUUCCAUGUCUGCUGAUUUAGAGGAACCAUGAAAAAUUGUCAAGUGAAGAGUGAUUCAGAGAAAAACAUGGGUAGAGUGUGACCUAAUUUCCAUAAAAACAAACAAAUGAAUGUCCUUACGUGUGUCCCGGCAAAAAGCAGUGUGUAAAAGGGUACAUGUGUAUCUUUGGACACUGGACACUUCAGGGGAGCUGGUACAAUAUACUUAUGUGGGGCUGGCUCUUAUUAUAACUUCUGUAUACAAAUCUCUAUUGUUAAAUGUGUUAUAAGAAUGUAAAACCUUUUAAAGUUAAUAACAUCAUACGUGUAUGUGUGUGUAUUUGAAACUUUUUUUCUGUUUUGACUAUUUUAUAUAUGUGUUUUUUAGUUAUCUAGUGUGGCUAUAGCAGAGAUACCACAAGUGGAUGGCUUUAACAAACAGAAGCUUAUUCUCUCACAGUUUAAGAAGCAAGAAGUUUGAAGUCAGGGCACCAGCUCUAGGAGAAAGCUUUCUCUGUUUGUGGCUCUGGGGGAAGGCCCUUGUCAUCUAUCUUCCCCUGGCCUAGGAAAUUCUCAGCGUGUGGACACUGGGUCAAAAAGACGUGCUCCACUCCAGGCACUUCUUCCUUGGUGGUAUGAGGUCCCUCUCAUUUCUGCUCACUUUUCUCUUUGUAUGUCAAAAGAGACUGACUCAAGACUCACCCUAAUCCUGUAGAUUGUGUCCUCCCUCAUUAACCUAACUGCCUCUAAUCCUGCCUCAUUAACAUCACAGAGGUUGGAAUUUACAACACAUAAGUAAUCACAUCAGAUCACAAAAUGCAGGACAACCACACAAUACUGGGAAUCAGGGUCUGGCCAGGUUGACACAUAUUUUGGGGGACACUAUUCAAUCCAUAACAAUAGAGAAAACACUGUCUUCAAUGCCAGAUUCAGAGACUUUUAUCCAUCUGUGAAGGGCAAACACAGAAAUUGAACAAAAUUCAGACCAGCGAAUUAUUGCUUGCUCUUGUAACUAAUGACUUCUUCUGGUCUCUAUGCCUGGAAAUGGCCAAAAAGAAUUCUGUGAGGAUUAAUUCAGUUAUUGCUCAAACAUCUACUGCAUUUACAUGUCUACAGAUAAGGAAGAAUGCUGGACACCAUGUGUGAUUCAUUAAGUAACACGGGGACCAUUAGACUAUUGUUCUCCUUCUCUGAUAUGCCACUAUCACCUUCUCCCCUUGUUGCUCUCCUGAAAAACCCACGCUUGUAUAUUCUAGGCUUUUAUCCAGGAUUGAAUUUGCAAGAAGUUAAAGAUAUAUCUUUGAAAGAUAAAGAAGACUUUGGCCACAUUGUCUUUAGACAGUUGAACUUCCCAGCCAACCUCUGUGCAGGAUGGGAAUUCACAAUCCCUCCUACUCAGUACCUCUGAGCAGGACGGGAUUUCUGUUUCAUUGUCAGGAGAAGGCGGAAUUCAGCCUUCUUCAGAAAACUUACUUUCCUUUGCCUCAAACUGUCCCUCUCAGGAUCUGUCACGGUCACUCUGAGAAAUUCACAUGGGCAGCCUGUAUGGAAGUGCCCAUCCUAGAGGCCCUGCCCUCCCUUCCUUGCUCCACAGGGCUUCCUCUGACACUUGGGGUCACAUCUCCCAGGGAGUACACACCUCUGGCACUUCCAGGGAUUCCCAGGCCCUGGGAUACUGUGGAUUGGACUUGGAACUCAAUCUGUUUCUUCCCAUCCUCACCUUUGAUUAUCUGUGUUCUGUCUUCACCAGAUUUAGGAGGCCUUGUCUUCUCUUUGCUCGUUUCAUCUCAGUCAGGCUUUUCCAUUCCAACUCUCUGAUCUCAGAACAGAUCAGGUUAGACCACAGAGAAGACAAAGACCAAGCAAACAUCACUGAUCUGUGCAGAAGCUGCUGGGAAGGGAUUCGAUUCUCAUUGGUUUAGGGUUUUAUGCCCACUGCUCACUGGCAGGCAGGUUCCCCCCAGAGUCUGGCUUCUGUCUGGUACCUUGUACUACAAAGAACUCAGUGACCAGCCCACCUUCACAAUCACACCUCCCUUAGAGCUAUCUGUCCAGAGGCUCUUUCUCAGACUUCCAUGUCCCACUGAAAUCCCUUUUCUCUUUCCUUACAAACAUUAUGUUCGUUCUCAGGGCCCUGAGACCUCAUCUGCAGAUGAGUCUUGUCCUCUUCUCUCCUUGGCAGGGGGAGCUUUUGAGUGGACCCCAUGUCUUCGGACAGCUAUCCUGGGCCUUCUUCCACCUUGGUGCUCUAGGGCUGGAUCUCUCCAUGUAAUAGAGGGAGCGUGGAAGGGGCACAAGGCUAAAAGGAUGGAUCUUCCAGGAGAGGUGGGUUUAAGAAGCCUGAAUGAAAUUCUUCCCUGAAGGGUGCAUAUUUUCAGUCCAGACAUCCUCCUUCUCUCAGCCUAAGAGGCCUAGCACGUCUUCAGAUGCUUCUCCUUUGACCUUCAGGCCAUGCCUGCACCCUCUGCAGCCCGGUCUCCCACAUGUGUAGCAGCACCAGUAGGUGUGGCACUCUCUUCAGCCCUUGUCUCCUCCUCCAGAUGCUCCUGGAGGUGCCUGGCUCUUCUUGCCAGGACACCAGGAUGCUGACCAGGGACUCAGUGUUGGUUAAAGGAUGUCGGCCAGUGACCACGUGUCCUCAUUUCCUUUGAAG